AAAUUGAAGAGUUUGAUCAUGGCUCAGAUUGAACGCUGGCGGCAGGCCUAACACAUGCAAGUCGAGCGGAAACGAGUUAUCUGAACCUUCGGGGAACGAUAACGGCGUCGAGCGGCGGACGGGUGAGUAAUGCCUAGGAAAUUGCCCUGAUGUGGGGGAUAACCAUUGGAAACGAUGGCUAAUACCGCAUGAUGCCUACGGGCCAAAGAGGGGGACCUUCGGGCCUCUCGCGACGAUAACGGCGUCGAGCGGCGGACGGGUGAGUAAUGCCUAGGAAAUUGCCCUGAUGUGGGGGAUAACCAUUGGAAACGAUGGCUAAUACCGCAUGAUGCCUACGGGCCAAAGAGGGGGACCUUCGGGCCUCUCGCGUCAGGAUAUGCCUAGGUGGGAUUAGCUAGUUGGUGAGGUAAGGGCUCACCAAGGCGACGAUCCCUAGCUGGUCUGAGAGGAUGAUCAGCCACACUGGAACUGAGACACGGUCCAGACUCCUACGGGAGGCAGCAGUGGGGAAUAUUGCACAAUGGGCGCAAGCCUGAUGCAGCCAUGCCGCGUGUGUGAAGAAGGCCUUCGGGUUGUAAAGCACUUUCAGUCGUGAGGAAGGUAGUGUAGUUAAUAGCUGCAUUAUUUGACGUUAGCGACAGAAGAAGCACCGGCUAACUCCGUGCCAGCAGCCGCGGUAAUACGGAGGGUGCGAGCGUUAAUCGGAAUUACUGGGCGUAAAGCGCAUGCAGGUGGUUUGUUAAGUCAGAUGUGAAAGCCCGGGGCUCAACCUCGGAAUUGCAUUUGAAACUGGCAGACUAGAGUACUGUAGAGGGGGGUAGAAUUUCAGGUGUAGCGGUGAAAUGCGUAGAGAUCUGAAGGAAUACCGGUGGCGAAGGCGGCCCCCUGGACAGAUACUGACACUCAGAUGCGAAAGCGUGGGGAGCAAACAGGAUUAGAUACCCUGGUAGUCCACGCCGUAAACGAUGUCUACUUGGAGGUUGUGGCCUUGAGCCGUGGCUUUCGGAGCUAACGCGUUAAGUAGACCGCCUGGGGAGUACGGUCGCAAGAUUAAAACUCAAAUGAAUUGACGGGGGCCCGCACAAGCGGUGGAGCAUGUGGUUUAAUUCGAUGCAACGCGAAGAACCUUACCUACUCUUGACAUCCAGAGAACUUUCCAGAGAUGGAUUGGUGCCUUCGGGAACUCUGAGACAGGUGCUGCAUGGCUGUCGUCAGCUCGUGUUGUGAAAUGUUGGGUUAAGUCCCGCAACGAGCGCAACCCUUAUCCUUGUUUGCCAGCGAGUAAUGUCGGGAACUCCAGGGAGACUGCCGGUGAUAAACCGGAGGAAGGUGGGGACGACGUCAAGUCAUCAUGGCCCUUACGAGUAGGGCUACACACGUGCUACAAUGGCGCAUACAGAGGGCRGCCAACUUGCGAAAGUGAGCGAAUCCCAAAAAGUGCGUCGUAGUCCGGAUUGGAGUCUGCAACUCGACUCCAUGAAGUCGGAAUCGCUAGUAAUCGUGGAUCAGAAUGCCACGGUGAAUACGUUCCCGGGCCUUGUACACACCGCCCGUCACACCAUGGGAGUGGGCUGCAAAAGAAGUAGGUAGUUUAACCUUCGGGGGGACGCUUACCACUUUGUGGUUCAUGACUGGGGUGAAGUCGUAACAAGGUAGCGCUAGGGGAACCUGGCGCUGGAUCACCUCCUUA
rnacentral:rRNA from 1 species